UCAAACUUGUCUAAUUUAUCUUGUUUCAAUUCCCUUUAAUUUCCUGCUUUAAUUUCAAAUGUUGAUUUAAUUUCCUCUUUCAAAUCCCUUGAUGGAUUCGUAUCCUAUCAAAAGGGCUACAUAAGAGGAAAGAUCCCUAGUGAUAAAGAGCUCAGGCGUGGAUUUGCAAACAGGGCUAUUUCCUUUAAAACAGAUUAAAGCUGCUACAAAAAACUUCGAUGCAGAAAAACAAACUUGGUGAGGGCGGCUUUGGAUCGGUCUAUAAGGGUCUUUUAGCAGACGGCACAAUAAUUGCAGUGUAGCAGCUAUCCUCGAAAUCAAAGCAAGGAAAUCGAGAAUAUGUCAAUGAUUUCUGCAUUGCAACAUCCGAACCUUGUGAAGCUGUACAGAUGUUGUGUUGAAGGAAACCACAUGCUGCUGAUUUAUGGUUUUCUGGAAUUAUCAACUGCAAGUCCUUAAUUUGUACGUUUAUCAACCAAUUUUAUGGUUUUGCAGUCCUUAAUUAUUAAUACGGUUUUCUGGAAACAUUAAAUUAUAUGAAAGCUAUUAUGCAUAUGUACGUUUUAUAAUUCUUAUGAACUUUUCAUUUUGGUUUCCUUUCACCAUUAGUUCCUUGUCUCAAAUUGGUUUCAUAUGAGGCUUAUGUUCUGCAAGAGAGGGGGAGUCUAUUGGAGUUGGUUGAUCCAGCCUUGGGUUCAGAAUAUUCAUCAGAGGAGACAA